GGGCAUAAGCUGGGCGGCGUGCCUAAUACAUGCAAGUCGAGCGAACUGAUUAGAAGCUUGCUUCUAUGACGUUAGCGGCGGACGGGUGAGUAACACGUGGGCAACCUGCCUGUAAGACUGGGAUAACUUCGGGAAACCGAAGCUAAUACCGGAUAGGAUCUUCUCCUUCAUGGGAGAUGAUUGAAAGAUGGUUUCGGCUAUCACUUACAGAUGGGCCCGCGGUGCAUUAGCUAGUUGGUGAGGUAACGGCUCACCAAGGCAACGAUGCAUAGCCGACCUGAGAGGGUGAUCGGCCACACUGGGACUGAGACACGGCCCAGACUCCUACGGGAGGCAGCAGUAGGGAAUCUUCCGCAAUGGACGAAAGUCUGACGGAGCAACGCCGCGUGAGUGAUGAAGGCUUUCGGGUCGUAAAACUCUGUUGUUAGGGAAGAACAAGUACAAGAGUAACUGCUUGUACCUUGACGGUACCUAACCAGAAAGCCACGGCUAACUACGUGCCAGCAGCCGCGGUAGUACGUAGGUGGCAAGCGUUAUCCGGAAUUAUUGGGCGUAAAGCGCGCGCAGGUGGUUUCUUAAGUCUGAUGUGAAAGCCCACGGCUCAACCGUGGACUUAAUUGUGGAAGGGCAGAGGAGACG
rnacentral:rRNA from 1 species